AUCCUGUUGACGUGUCCCAAAUAGGAGGAAAUGCGCGUCAAAUUGGAU
rnacentral:hammerhead_ribozyme from 1 species